AGCGGCGGACGGGUGAGUAACACGUGGGUAACCUGCCCAAGAGACUGGGAUAACACCUGGAAACAGAUGCUAAUACCGGAUAACAACACUAGACGCAUGUCUAGAGUUUGAAAGAUGGUUCUGCUAUCACUCUUGGAUGGACCUGCGGUGCAAUAGCCAGUUGGUAAGGUAACGGCUUACCAAGGCAAUGAUGCAUAGCCGAGUUGAGAGACUGAUCGGCCACAUUGGGACUGAGACACGGCCCAAACUCCUACGGGAGGCAGCAGUAGGGAAUCUUCCACAAUGGACGAAAGUCUGAUGGAGCAACGCCGCGUGAGUGAAGAAGGGUUCCGGCUCGUAAAGCUCUGUUGGUAGUGAAGAAAGAUAGAGGUAGUAACUGGCCUUUAUUUGACGGUAAUUACUUAGAAAGUCACGGCUAACUACGUGCCAGCAGCCGCGGUAAUACGUAGGUGGCAAGCGUUGUCCGGAUUUAUUGGGCGUAAAGCGAGUGCAGGCGGUUCAAUAAGUCUGAUGUGAAAGCCUUCGGCUCAACCGGAGAAUUGCAUCAGAAACUGUUGAACUUGAGUGCAGAAGAGGAGAGUGGAACUCCAUGUGUAGCGGUGGAAUGCGUAGAUAUAUGGAAGAACACCAGUGGCGAAGGCGGCUCUCUGGUCUGCAACUGACGCUGAGGCUCGAAAGCAUGGGUAGCGAACAGGAUUAGAUACCCUGGUAGUCCAUGCCGUAAACGAUGAGUGCUAAGUGU
rnacentral:rRNA from 1 species